rnacentral:rRNA from 1 species
CCCUGGUUGAUCCUGCCAGUAGUUAUAUGCUUGUCUCAAAGAUUAAGCCAUGCAUGUCUCAGUGCAAGCCGUAUUAAGGCGAUACCGCGAAUGGCUCAAUAUAUCAGUUUUGGUUCCUUAGAUCUUACUCAGUUACUUGGAUAACUGUGGUAAUUCUAGAGCUAAUACAUGCAAUCAGAACUCUGACCAGUGAUGGGAUGAGUGCUUUUAUUAGAUCAAAACCAAUCGACGGAGGGCCUCGCGUCCGAAGUCGUUAAUUUUGAUGAAUCUGGAUAACUUUUGCCGAUCGCAUGGUCCAGUACCGGCGACGCAUCUUUCAAAUGUCUGCCUUAUCAACUUUCGAUGGUAGUUUCUGCGACUACCAUGGUUGUCACGGGUAACGGGGAAUCAGGGUUCGAUUCCGGAGAGGGAGCCUGAGAAACGGCUACCACAUCCAAGGAAGGCAGCAGGCGCGCAAAUUACCCACUCCCGGCACGGGGAGGUAGUGACGAAAAAUAACGAUACGGGACUCUUACGAGGCCUCGUAAUCGGAAUGAGUACACUUUAAAUAUUUUAACGAGGAACAAUUGGAGGGCAAGUCUGGUGCCAGCAGCCGCGGUAAUUCCAGCUCCAAUAGCGUAUACUAAAAUUGUUGCGGUUAAAAAGCUCGUAGUUGCAUUUGUGCGCCGCGCUGUCGGUGCACCGCAUCCGCGGUGAUACUGACACGUCUGCGGAGCAUAUCGUCGGUGAGCCGUCGGUUAAACGUCGGUUCAAUAUCAAAAUCCUAUCGCGGUGCUCUUCAAUGAGUGUCGAGGUGGGCCGACAAUUUUACUUUGAACAAAUUAGAGUGCUCAAAGCGGGCUCAAAAUGCUGCUUGAAUAUUUCGUGCAUGGAAUAAUAGAAUAUGAUCUCGGUUCUAUUUUGUUGGUUUUCAGAACUCCGAGGUAAUGAUUAAUAGGGAUAACUGGGGGCAUUCGUAUUGCGACGUUAGAGGUGAAAUUCUUGGAUCGUCGCAAGACGAACAUCAGCGAAAGCAUUUGCCAAAGGUGUUUUCAUCAAUCAAGAACGAAAGUUAGAGGUUCGAAGGCGAUUAGAUACCGCCCUAGUUCUAACCGUAAAUAUGUCAUCUAGCGAUCCGCCGACGUUACUACAAUGGCUCGGCGGGCAGCUUCCGGGAAACCAAAGAUUUUGGACUCCGGGGGGAGUAUGGUUGCAAAGCUGAAACUUAAAGGAAUUGACGGAAGGGCACCACCAGGAGUGGAGCCUGCGGCUUAAUUUGACUCAACACGGGAAAUCUCACCAGGCCCGGACACCGGAAGGAUUGACAGAUUAACAGCUCUUUCUUGAUUCGGUGGGUGGUGGUGCAUGGCCGUUCUUAGUUGGUGGAGCGAUUUGUCUGGUUAAUUCCGGUAACGAACGAGA